AUGAUAAGGCCUCAAAAAUUAUUAGUCAUUCAUAAAAUGAAGAUGCUGAUGAUUAUUUUUUACUUUUUUCUCCAGGGAGGCUAUUUAUCUGGAGAGAUAAGACAUUUUCAUUCACUGAUAAACUUGAUAAUGAUGCCUGUAUUAAAAUUUUUAUCUGUUCUUAUUUUAACAGCGAUAUCCACGGUUUUAUCCCUUCCCUCCAUAUCCACCCGUUUAUCCUUACCCUGCCCCAGCACAAUACCCUCCUUCUUCAUAGCCAUCAUUUUGAAUAUUAAGAACCCUAGGACAUGAUUAUGGAGGCUUGGUGGAAAGUCCUAUUUGCUUUCUUACUCAAAAUGAUUCUUCCUAAAGAAAAAUCCUUUAAUCAUCUAGUAACACUUAUUAGCCCCAAUACACCACAUACACCCAAAGUAUUUGUAAAAUUAUGUUUUGGAAUUUAAUUUUUUAAAUUGCAUUAUAUUAUGCGCUAUAUCACAAUUUUAAAAUAAUUGGAUCGAUCAUAAUUUCUAGAUUUUCCGUAAGAAAAAAGAAAUCUAAUCAAAUAAUGUUACAUGGACAACACACACCAGAGAUUCAUGAUCAAUAUUUUGAAAAUAGUAAUAGUAGUCUCUGAACUAUUGGAAAAUCUCCUUUUC
rnacentral:lncRNA from 12 species